rnacentral:rRNA from 1 species
UACGGAAGGCAGCAGUGGGGAAUAUUGCACAAUGGGCGAAAGCCUGAUGCAGCUAUGCCGCGUGUAUGAAGAAGGCCUUAGGGUUGUAAAGUACUUUCAUCGGGGAGGAAAAAACAAAACUAAUAAUUUUAUUUCUUGACGUUACCCGAAAAAGAAGCACCGGCUAACUCCGUGCCAGCAGCCGCGGUAAUACGGAGGGUGCUAGCGUUAAUCAGAAUUACUGGGCGUAAAGAGCACGUAGGUGGUUUUUUAAGUCAGAUGUGAAAUCCCUGGGCUUAACCUGGAACUGCAUUUUGAAACUGAAAUACUAGAGUAUCGUAGAGGGAGGUAGAAUUCUAGGUGUAGCGGUGAAAUGCGUAGAUAUCUGGAGGAAUACCUGUGGCGAAAGCGGCCUCCUAAACGAAUACUGACACUGAGGUGCGAAAGCGUGGGGGCAAACAGGGAUUAGAUACC